UGGCUCAGAAUCAACGCUGGCGGCGUGCCUAACACAUGCAAGUCGAACGCGACUGGGGACUUCGGUUCCCAGUUGAGUGGCGAACGGGUGAGUAACACGUGGGUAUCUACCUUCGAGCGGGGGAUAACGUUCCGAAAGGAACGCUAAUACCGCAUGACGUCCUGGGUUUAAAGACCUGGAGACCAAAGCUAGGGACCGCAUGGCCUGGCACUUGAAGAGGAGCCCGCGUCCGAUUAGCUAGUCGGCGGGGUAACGGCCCACCAAGGCGACGAUCGGUAGCCGGCCUGAGAGGGCGGACGGCCACACUGGGACUGAGACACGGCCCCGACUCCUACGGGAGGCAGCAGUGGGGAAUUGUUCACAAUGGGCGCAAGCCUAAANACGCAACGCCGCGUGGGGGACGAAGGUCUUNAAAAUCGUAAACCCCUGUCGAGUGGGACGAAUAACUCACGAAUCAAUACGUCGU
rnacentral:rRNA from 1 species